GAUGUAUAUAUAUAGUUGCAAUUUGCACAUGUUAUGAUGGGUUUUCGGGUGCCUUGCUUUUGCUAACUCGACUACCACUUUACUCCCAAAGCAUAAUUAAUUUUAUUUUUUGCAUUUUCAUUUCAUAACUAAGCUUUAUCAACCUACACCUAACCAAUGAUGCUUUUUCUAGUGACUCCGAUUUAGAGUUUGGAAGAUGGGGUGGUUAUUGAGACUGUUUUAAGUCUAGCAGGAUUACAGUCUUGGCAUAGUUUGUCUUAUGGACGUUUCCAGAUGGAGCUCUGCCUUCAACCUGAUCUAAUAAAAAAGUGGAAGAGGUCAUCAAAGAAGUCGGCAGCUGAGGCUAUGUCAAAGGGAGAGCAAUUUGAUCCAUCCUCAUCACCUAAAGCAAAUUUUGUUCGAGGCCUAAUUGAAGAAUUCGUCGAUGUGCUUGAUCAUGGUGUUUUUGCGGAUGGGGUUGAUGCAAGUUAUUUGUAGUAGGUCAAAACCUAAUAAUAUCUCCGUUACUAAUC